GGAAGGAUCAUUAUCGUAUAACAGAGGUGCCCAGGGCUGUCGCUGACCUCCAUAGGUUGUGCACGCCUGAAGGUGCUCUCUCACAUCCAUCUCAGCCUUUGUGCAUACACGCGUGGCGUCCCCUAUUGGGCUUGUUCUGAAGGAGGGUUCACGUUUUUAUAUGAACACCAUUAUGUGUAGAAUGUCUAUCUUUUUGGAAUUAUGUGCACUCAAAUAAACUUUCAACAACGGAUCUCUUGGCUCUCGCAUCGAUNNNNAACGCAGCGAAAUGCGAUACGUAAUGUGAAUUGCAGAAUUCAGUGAAUCAUCGAAUCUUUGAACGCACCUUGCGCCCCUUGGUAUUCCGAGGGGCACACCCGUUUGAGUGUCGUGAACACCCUCAACCUUUUUGAUUUGUUGAUCGAGAAGGCUUGGACUUUGGAGGUUUUUCUUGCUGGCCUUUCAUUCGAAGCCAGCUCCUCCCAAACGCAUUAGUGGGGUUUGCUUUGCCAAUCCUUGACGUGAUAAGUAUGCUUCUAUGUCUUGGGUUUGCACUGUUGCCACUUCCAAUGGUCUUCAAAUGAAGACAAUGUUCGAGUUGCAUGCGACUCAAA
rnacentral:rRNA from 1 species